rnacentral:tRNA from 7 species
GGAAAGAUGGCUGAGUUGGUCUAAGGCGCACGACUGGAAAUCGUGUAACGUGUAAAAGCGUUCUGGGGUUCGAAUCCCCAUCUUUCCGCCA